UCAUGAAGCCAACUUAACUUUAGGAAAUGGUGUAGCAAAAGCAGAAUGUACUGGUGAUAAGGAUGAUAUGAUAUGUUCACCUAUUUGCCAGAUUGGUUUUGUAUUUAAGGAUAUUAUACCUAGCUAUGAAUGUAAAGGUGGAGAAUGGCUCUCUGGAAACAAAACACAACCAUGCACAAAACCUGUAAUCCCAGAAGAAUAUAAAGCUAAUUUGGGAUUAUCGUAUAAAAUACCUGACUGUGAUUCCCAGGAUGACGUACAGAACCAAAUUGUCCAGAUAACAGAUCAGUUACCAUGUUCUACUAACCCGGAUUGUACGUUAAAUGUUACAAUAAACAGCUGUGUUUUAGAUCCUGCUCCUACCUUAUCUCUGGGCGUGUCCAUUAAUAUACCAAUUAACCAAUCAACAAUUGAUUUUAAACCAGGAAAUGGUACAGAUGAUAUCACUCGUGCGUUAGAUACUUUGG